GACGAACGCUGGCGGCGUGCUUAACACAUGCAAGUCGAACGGUGACGCGCCUUCCUUUUUGGUGGGUGUGGAUGAGUGGCGAACGGGUGAGUAACACGUGAGUAACCUGCCCCCUUCUUCUGGAUAACCGCAUGAAAGUGUGGCUAAUACGGGAUAUUCUGGGUCUGUCGCAUGAUGGGUCUGGGAAAGAUAUUGUUUCGGUGGGGGAUGGGCUCGCGGCCUAUCAGCUUGUUGGUGGGGUGAUGGCCUACCAAGGCGGUGACGGGUAGCCGGCCUGAGAGGGUGGACGGCCACACAGGGACUGAGACACGGCCAAGACUCCGACGGGAGGCAGCAGUGGGGAAUAGUGCACAAGGGGCGCAAGCCUGAUGCAGCGACGCCGCGGGAGGGAUGGAGGCCUGCGGGUUGUGAACCUCUUUCGCCAGUGGAGCAGGCCUGCCUCGUUUGUGGGUGGGUUGACGGUAGCUGGAGAAGAAGCGCCGGCUAACUACGUG
rnacentral:rRNA from 1 species